rnacentral:lncRNA from 1 species
AGGUCAUCAUACAAUCCAAAAUCACUCAACCCUAAUUAUGAGGAUCUAAAUAAUCACUAUUUAAUUAUUUUAGUAAGAUUAGUUAAAUACUAAAUAAGGGUUUAUUAAUAUUUUAACUAAACCUUAUCCAAAUGCCACCAAAUUUUAGGUGGAGCCAGGGAAUAAUAUUCAGAGGCUCCCCAAAUUUUUUGGUGAUUUUUGGAUAUACAGUUAAAUUAUUAAAAAUCAUACAAGUUUUAUUUGCUAAUUAAAAGGGCCAAUUUUUGUAUCCUUGCAAACUAUUAGAAAUCAGAACCUAGUAUUUUUCUUGGAUCCUACAUAUUUCAGAGAGUUUAUACAAAAAUUUUCAUUAUUUUUGGAUCAUCACACAAUUUAUUACACAAAUUCAAAUAUAAAACAAAAACUGCAUAAAAGAAAAAAAAAGAAAAGACACUGCAGCGGGUGGCCGGAUUUCGGCCCGCAGGCCGGCCCGCUUCGGCUCGGCCCGCACGGACGCUGCGCACUCCGCCUUCUCUCCGCGC